rnacentral:sRNA from 1 species
AGUUCAUUGGAUUGUAAAGGAUUUUGUAAGAGACGUGGGCAGGGAUGCAGACAGAGUGGGAAGCGGGAGCUGGCGGCCGCCAGCCACUGUGUGGGAAUCCCAUCCUGGUGACCUGUCCUCCGUGUUCCAGUGUGUCGUCUCAACAGGCCUGAGGUGACUGUCCUGUGCUCCAGGAGCUGAAUCCUGAAUGCAAGUCCUCUGGAAGAGCAGCCACUGUGCCAUCUCUCCAGCCCGAGAGGCUAUUUUCAUACAAGUGUGGUCUUCUAUCUUCACUGGGAGCAUGUCAGCACCGGAGUCAGUUCCAGAGCUCCCCACCCACCCACUCACUCCCGUUCCCAUUCAGGAGUGUGUAAGGACAGCAUUUAUCAGCCAAACAUCAACAGGUCUGCUGAAGCUUCCACCGCAUUCACUGUUGACCACUAAUUGCCAAGAUUUCCUUUGGUCUCUCUGGGCCUCGGUUUGUUAUUGCAGCAGUAAAUCCUUUCCCUGUGGCUUCUUCAAGAAUUUCUUUUGGG